rnacentral:rRNA from 1 species
GACGAACGCUGGCGGCGUGCUUAACACAUGCAAGUCGAACGGAAAGGCCCUGCUUUUGUGGGGUGCUCGAGUGGCGAACGGGUGAGUAACACGUGAGUAACCUGCCCUUGACUUUGGGAUAACUUCAGGAAACUGGGGCUAAUACCGGAUAGGAUCUCCUGCUGCAUGGUGGGGGUUGGAAAGUUUCGGCGGUUGGGGCUGGACUCGCGGCUUAUCAGCUUGUUGGUGGGGUAGUGGCUUACCAAGGCUUUGAUGGGUAGCCGGCCUGAGAGGGUGACCGGCCACCAUGGGACUGAGAGACGGCGCAGACUCCUACGGGAGGCAGCAGGGGGGAAUAUUGCACAAUGGGCGGAAGCCUGAUGCAGCAACGCCGCGUGCGGGAUGACGGCCUUCGGGUUGAAAACCGCUUUCGCCUGUGACGAAGCGGGAGUGACGGUAAUGGGUAAAGAAGCACCGGCUAACUACGUG